rnacentral:rRNA from 1 species
GAUGAACGCUGGCGGCGUGCCUAAUACAUGCAAGUCGAGCGAACGGACGAGAAGCUUGCUUCUCUGAUGUUAGCGGCGGACGGGUAAGUAACACGUGGAUAACCUACCUAUAAGACUGGGAUAACUUCGGGAAACCGGAGCUAAUACCGGAUAAUAUUUUGAACCGCAUGGUUCAAAAGUGAAAGACGGUCUUGCUGUCACUUAUAGAUGGAUCCGCGCUGCAUUAGCUAGUUGGUAAGGUAACGGCUUACCAAGGCAACGAUGCAUAGCCGACCUGAGCGGGUGGUCGGCCACCCUGGAACUGAGACACGGUCCAGACUCCUACGGGAGGCAGCAGUAGGGAAUCUUCCGCAAUGGGCGAAUGCCUGACGGAGCAACGCCGCGUGAGUGAUGAAGGUCUUCGGAUCGUAGAGCUCUGUUAUUAGGGAAGAACAUAUGUGUAAGUAACUGUGCACAUCUUGACGGUACCUAAUCAGAAAGCCCCGGCUAACUACGUG